UGAGUAACCUGCCCUUCACUCUGGGAUAACUCCGGGAAACCGGGGCUAAUACUGGAUAUGACUCGAACAGGCAUCUGUUUCGGGUGGAAAGAUUUUAUUGGUGGAGGAUGGACUCGCGGCCUAUCAGCUCGUUGGUGAGGUAAUGGCUCACCAAGGCGACGACGGGUAGCCGGCCUGAGGAGGGCGAUCGGCCACACGUGGGACUGAGACACGGCCCAGACUCCGUACGGGGAGGCAGCA
rnacentral:rRNA from 1 species